AAGAAUUGACAGGUGUUCGGAGCUUAGAAUCGUAGACAAAUGUUUUUGUGAUAGUUACAAGUAUAAUGGAGCAUAUGUUGCAAUUCGUUACAAUUAGAAGAUCAAGUAAUUAAAUGUCAAUCAAAAGUUUCUAAUUGAAAGUGGACUAAACGAUAAAGUAUUCAAAGAACAGUCUUCCACUUUAACUAACAUGAAUGGAAGUUAAAUUUAGAUAAAGUUUAAAAUUUUAGUAUUAAUUUUUUUAAAUAUGUUUUUUUAUUACUAAGAAGUAAAAUUUAACCAUAAAUACCGAUUAUUGAGAUUACAUAAUAAAUGUUGGGUCAUUUACACCUUGAUGCAUAAAAGAAUUUUCUAUUUUCUAUUGAUUUUAACUUGAGUUCUAGGUUAAUGAAAUUUCAUCUAGACACGGGUAGUGUAAGUGACUCAUCGUCUAUUAAGUGAUCUCAACCUUGUUAUUUGUAGUGAACAUUUUUUUCAAUAACUAAAAUGUGCACGCAAUGUUAUCUAGUAAUCCAUUUUUGCCGUGUAAUUUGUGUUGAUAUUUUAUAAAUUUUUGUUUCCCAAAGUAAACUCCCAAAUUGAAACAAUGGCUAACAAGAAAGGAAACAAUUGGAGACAUGCACAUUAUAGAUUCAGUGACAUGUCACUGAGGGCC
rnacentral:lncRNA from 1 species